GUGAAUCAUCGAAUUUUUGAACGCAAAUUGCACUCUCGGGUAUUCCGGAGAGGAGGCCUGUUUGGUGUGCAGUUUAAGUAAAGAUCGGUGUGGUUGCUUCCUUUCGUGGUGACGCACCGGGUUUGGGUCGUCUGGCCUUCGGUUAAGUGACCGAAAAUUUUGCAUUGUUUUUUUCGAACGUAUUUAAAUGAUUUUACGUACGUUUGCGAUAUCUAAUACUAGGUGUGGUCAUCCUCAUGAGUCAC
rnacentral:misc_RNA from 1 species